UGCUUAAUGACGUAUUUGGAAAUCCAAAGGGUUUCCCCAAUUCAACCUCGAAACGAAGAGACCCGGAAGACUCUACCCUGAGGGCUCGACUAAGGUAAGGAGCCCGCCUGUUUCUGAUUCUCAGUCCCAUCAGCUUGCCCUCGAGCAGAAGACAAACAUGCAAAGCUGUAUAAUUUGCCUAUAAAGGAAAAUCAUGUGGACAGUAAAGCUACACUAAUCAACCUCAAUCUGUCUUUAAGCUAGCUUUCUUAAAUUUCACACCGCUCAAUACUUAGUCUCUCAUCGGAGAGGUUUUGGGGACUCCCCAUAAUAGCUCUAACCUAUAUCUUUGUUGCUACAGCUAGCAGAAGUCGGACUAAACUUCCUCUUGGAACAUACAAAAAGAGAUCUAGGUGAAACAACUACAUAUUUCCAACACCCAAUGUUAUUUUUGAACAGUUGGUAUGAUCGAAUGGUAGGGAAAGAAUGGAAUGUGUCAUUCUAUUAUAACUAAAAAAAGAAUUGUUUGUUUUGCUCCAUGGAAUUGGAAUGAACUGGUUGAAGGAAUAUGAUUCUUUCACAAUAUUGUCAGCUUUCAUACCUUGUAGCCAUCGUUAUGAAGCCUUUGUUUUCUUAAUUUCUUCUUGUUGUUCAUUGAUUGUAAUGCUUAAGAUGUCAUUUUAGAUUCUAGGGAUACCUUGAAUACUAGUCGUGACAUAAGUUAUUUCAAAUUUGGGAUGAACAAUAAAAGGACCUCACAUGGGAGUUCCUCAUCACUUUACAUGAUGUGUUGAAUAGGUCAGAAUCAAAGAGUGAAAGCGGAAGUUUUGAGGCAAGAAUGAAAGAUAGUAUGUUUGUUCAUUUGUUGGUUGUGAAGUUUUUAGUGAAUGCAAACAUUUAUUUAUAAGUUGAAUUUAUAAGAGAUUAUUUAUUGUUUAAUGCAAGCCCUAAUGUGGGAAUUUCAGUGAAUUUUUAUUUUAUAGUCGUGAACAUAUGUAGUGGAUUAAAUGUUGGUAAAACGUUUAUAUGUAAAUGUGAAUUUCUCAAACUUUUGAUGGUUUUAUUAGUAUUAAUUAUUAUUUUGUAAACAAAAAGGUAAAAUGAUGAUGUUUAUCAUUCAGCACAAUUAUUCAUAUGUUCUAACCAAACAGUAUGUAAACUAUUUAGAUCUUAAAAU
rnacentral:lncRNA from 1 species